rnacentral:rRNA from 1 species
GACGAACGCUGGCGGCGUGCUUAACACAUGCAAGUCGAACGGAAAGGCCCUGCUUUUGUGGGGUGCUCGAGUGGCGAACGGGUGAGUAACACGUGAGUAACCUGCCCUUGACUUUGGGAUAACUUCAGGAAACUGGGGCUAAUACCGGAUAGGAGCUCCUGCUGCAUGGUGGGGGUUGGAAAGUUUCGGCGGUUGGGGAUGGACUCGCGGCUUAUCAGCUUGUUGGUGGGGUAGUGGCUUACCAAGGCUUUGACGGGUAGCCGGCCUGAGAGGGUGACCGGCCACAUUGGGACUGAGAUACGGCCCAGACUCCUACGUGAGGCAGCAGUGGGGAAUAUUGCACAAUGGGCGGAAGCCUGAUGCAGCAACGCCGCGUGCGGGAUGACGGCCUUCGGGUUGUAAACCGCUUUCGCCUGUGACGAAGCGUGAGUGACGGUAAUGGGUAAAGAAGCACCGGCUAACUACGUGCCAGCAGCCGCGGUGAUACGUAGGGUGCGAGCGUUGUCCGGAUUUAUUGGGCGUAAAGGGCUCGUAGGUGGUUGAUCGCGUCGGAAGUGUAAUCUUGGGGCUUAACCCUGAGCGUGCUUUCGAUACGGGUUGACUUGAGGAAGGUAGGGGAGAAUGGAAUUCCUGGUGGAGCGGUGGAAUGCGCAGAUAUCAGGAGGAACACCAGUGGCGAAGGCGGUUCUCUGGGCCUUUCCUGACGCUGAGGAGCGAAAGCGUGGGGAGCGAACAGGCUUAGAUACCCUGGUAGUCCACGCUGUAAACGGUGGGUACUAGGUGUGGGGUCCAUUCCACGGGUUCCGUGCCGUAGCUAACGCUUUAAGUACCCCGCCUGGGGAGUACGGCCGCAAGGCUAAAACUCAAAGGAAUUGACGGGGCCCCGCACAAGCGGCGGAGCAUGCGGAUUAAUUCGAUGCAACGCGUAGAACCUUACCUGGGUUUGACAUGGAUCGGGAGCGCUCAGAGAUGGGUGUGCCUCUUUUGGGGUCGGUUCACAGGUGGUGCAUGGCUGUCGUCAGCUCGUGUCGUGAGAUGUUGGGUUAAGUCCCGCAACGAGCGCAACCCUUGUUCACUGUUGCCAGCACGUUAUGGUGGGGACUCAGUGGAGACCGCCGGGGUCAACUCGGAGGAAGGUGGGGAUGACGUCAAGUCAUCAUGCCCCUUAUGUCCAGGGCUUCACGCAUGCUACAAUGGCUGGUACAGAGAGUGGCGAGCCUGUGAGGGUGAGCGAAUCUCGGAAAGCCGGUCUCAGUUCGGAUUGGGGUCUGCAACUCGACCUCAUGAAGUCGGAGUCGCUAGUAAUCGCAGAUCAGCAACGCUGCGGUGAAUACGUUCCCGGG